CAUUAACAAUAAAAAAUUUUCUAUUUAUUUUGUGAAAUUUACAUUUCUAAUACGUAAUAGAAAUUAUACAUUAACAUUAAGUGCGUGUAUAAAACUAUAUUACAUAAAAUAUAACAAUAUACGAUAUUUUUAUUUUAAACAUUAAGAAUCAUAAAUGAAUUCAUUAAUCAACAAUUUAUCUAACAAUGGGUCUAUAGUACCUAUAAAAUGCUAUGAUAAUGCAUUAUUAAAUAAAAGUACCAUUUUACUUGAAAAUAAAGGUAAACCUGGUAUUUAUCGUUGAACUAAUAAAUUAAAUAAUAAUACUUAUGUGGGUAGUGGUCUAAACUUAUCAAAAAGAAUGGGUGAAUAUUAUAAUCAAAGUGAAUUAAAAAGAAACCCUAGACCUAUUCAUGCUGCUUUACUAAAACAUGGAUACGAGAAUUUCAAAUUAGAAAUUUUAGAAUAUUGCAGAGCAGAUGAGCUUAUUAUAAGAGAACAGUAUUAUUUGGAUUUAUUAAUACCUGAAUAUAAUAUAUUAAAACAUGCUUAUUCUUUAUUAGGAUUUAAACAUAGUCUUGAUAAUAUAGAGAAAUUUAAAUUAAAAAAGAUUUCACAAGAGCAUAAAGAUUUAUUAUCUUCAAUACAUUUAGGAAAAGUAGUUAGUCAAGAAACUAGAGAUAAAUUAUCUCUUGCAACUGCUAACUUUAUGAAAAAUAAUCCCCUUACACCUGAAGCUUUAGCUAAUAUUACAACUAAAACUACAGAGCGUGAAGGAGUACCUGUUACACUUUUAAAUAUCCAAACUAAUGAAACAUUAGAUUUUCCUACUUUAACUAAAGCUGCGGAAUAUUUGGGUAUAAAAAGACAAGCUGUACGAAACGCAAUCAAUAGAGGAAGUAUUGUUAAAGAACUCUAUCGUGUUUCAGAAAAAUAGUAGGCAGUCCAUACACAUUUGUACUAACAAUUAUAUAAAUUACUUUAAUUUCAAUAAUUUAAUUGAAAUCAGGUUCAAUAACCUGUUGUCUAAAUGGAUAGUUCAUAAAUAUUAUAUGUGAACUAUUUAGGGAGAAGAUUUUUGCUUACUUAGUACAUAAGCAAAAUCGGCGUGUAUGUCGAAAGGGAAACAGCCCAGAACAAGAGUUAAGGUUCCUAAAUUAUUUGUUGAGUGAAAAUAAGAAGGUUUUUAUUUAAGUCGACAAGGAGAUAGGCUUAGAAGCAGCCAUAAUUUUAUGACCUCGUAACAGAGCGCUUGUUAAGUUAUAAAAGCGUCGAAAAUAUAACGGAUCUAAACAAUAUACCGAAACCUUGUCCAUAAUAUAUUAUAAUAAAUAUAUUUAUUGUAAUUAAAUGGGGUAGCAGAACGUUGAGCUAAAGUAUGAGUUUUAUUUUUUAAAUAAAAUUAUAGUAAUUUAACUCAAGUGAGAAUGGUGACAUGAGUAACUAAAAGAAAAUUUUCCGCCUUAAGCUUAUGGAUGUAAUUAAGUAACGGCCUCUAAGUUUAUAUAAUCUAAAGAUUUAAACGAUGAGAAAAUCUUUAUUACUAAAAACAACAUUUUGGUGCAAAAUGUGCUGGAAAAAUAGUAAUAUAUUUGUUAUUUAAUAACAAAUAAAAUAACCGUACCUAGAAUCUGAAACAAGUAAGCUAGUAGAGAAUACGAAGGCGUAAAUGAGCUAACAAUCAUAAAGGAACUCGGCAAAUUGACUACCGUAACUUCGGAAUAAGGAGGGCUCAUUAUUCUUGAUGGAUAUCAAGUAAAGAGGAAGAAGCAUGAAAUAAUGUUGUACGACUGUUUAAUUAAAACACAGCACUUUGCUGAAAGAUUAAAAAUCUAAGUAUAAAGUGUGAUAUCUGCCCGGUGCCGGCUGGUUAACAGAUAUAAUUGAAUAUACUAAUAUUUGAUGUAGACGGAAACCCCGGUUAAAGGCGGCCUUAACGUGAGGGUCCUAAGGUAGCGAAAUGCCUUGGCCGUUAAAUGCGGUCUUGCAUGAAUGGUGUAACGAUACAACAGCUGUCUCUAUGAUUGACUCAGUGAAAUUGGAAUAGCUGUGCAGAUACAGCUUACCUCUAGUUAGACGAGAAGACCCUAUGCAGCUUUACUGUCACUAAUUAUAGAGUAUGAUAAACGAUUUUCAGAAUAUAAGGUAAUUGACAAACAUGACAAUGAGAAACCUUUAUUCUUUUUUCAUAUGAAUGAAUUGGUUUAGGAUUAUGAGCAAUUUAUAAUUAAUUUUAUUGACCUAGCUUAUGCAUGGUUAUAUAUUAUUAUAUAGCUUAUUUUAGUAAAUCAACCUAAUUCAACUUAUCUAUUUUUUUAAUAAGUAAGUACCCUUUGGUAAGGAACUAUCGCUAGGGGACAGUUUAUGUGGGGCACAGACCCUGUAAAGAGUAAACAGGAGUGUCUAAAAAUUUAUAAUUAUUUUGUUUGCUAUUUUGAGUAGUUUAACUAUUUUUAAUCAUAUAAAAUUAAAUAUAUUUGCAUUUUAUGUAUAUAUAUUUAAAAUUAGGUAAGAUUUUCACUAUAUAGAAAUUAGAGAUAAUUGAAAAUAUUAUGAAUUUUUCUAAUAUUUUCUAGCUAUUAUUUAUAAUAGUUAUGUGUUUAAUAUCU
rnacentral:rRNA from 1 species